UGUCAUAUUCUUUCCUAAUGCCUUCAUUCGUUUUACGUAUCCUUGCAAGUCGAACCAACUAAGCCAAGGUAUCCAAUCUCCAAGAUUAAUCACCCCACCUAGAACAAACCACUCAUCCAACAUCCAUUGCAAUCUUUCAAGUGUUACUAUUGAUGAAGUAUCUGAGUUUGACUGAUCACUACAAUAUUUGUCACUCAUAACCAACCUACUUAUAGUACGAAGAGUAAAUUGAGGUAAAUGGUCUCUAAGAAAAAUUGGCUUUCCUGAGUGAGGAAAAAGACGAGAAAUUAAAGUUUGUCUUUCCUCAAUACGAAUAUACUCUAAUGAAUCAAGCCUCUUGGGACUAAAUAUCUCAGUUAGGUAAAUUUUUCUAGCUUGACGCCAAUAUGCACCGUAAGGUGCCCAUGUCAUGUCUGAGUAGUUAUAACUAGUGUAUUUACCAGCAGCUAAUUCAGGACGAGAUGCAAA